rnacentral:RNase_P_RNA from 1 species
GAAGUCCGCCAGGCAACCGCUGGAUGUGUAAAAAGCAUCUGGAGGAAAGUCCGGGCCCCAUAGAGCAGGAUGCCGGCUAACGGCCGGGCGCAGCAAGCCGCGCAAGCGGCCCAAGGCGACAGACAGUGCAACAGAAAGAUACCGCCUAAGUUCGCAAGGACCGGCAAGGGUGAAAUGGCGGGGUAAGAGCCCACCGCGGACGUGGUAACACGGACGGCACGGCAAACCUCAUCCGGGGCAAGGCCAAAUAGGGGAGCAUUGGCGCGGCUCGCGUCGCUCCCGGGUAGGCUGCUAGAGGCCGUCGGCAACGGCGGUCCCAGAGGAAUGGUUGCCCACGACAGAACCCGGCUUAUCGGCGGACUUCCAUC